rnacentral:rRNA from 1 species
GAUGAACGCUGGCGGCGUGCCUAAUACAUGCAAGUCGAGCGAACGGACGAGAAGCUUGCUUCUCUGAUGUUAGCGGCGGACGGGUGAGUAACACGUGGAUAACCUACCUAUAAGACUGGGAUAACUUCGGGAAACCGGAGCUAAUACCGGAUAAUAUUUUGCACCGCAUGGUUCAAAAGUGAAAGACGGUCUUGCUGUCACUUAUAGAUGGAUCCGCGCUGCAUUAGCUAGUUGGUAAGGUAACGGCUUACCAAGGCAACGAUGCGUAGCCGACCUGAGAGGGUGAUCGGCCACACUGGAACUGAGACACGGUCCAGACUCCUACGGGAGGCAGCAGUAGGGAAUCUUCCGCAAUGGGCGAAAGCCUGACGGAGCAACGCCGCGUGAGUGAUGAAGGUCUUCGGAUCGUAAAACUCUGUUAUUAGGGAAGAACAUAUGUGUAAGUAACUGUGCACAUCUUGACGGUACCUAAUCAGAAAGCCACGGCUAACUACGUG